CUCAGGCUGUGACCCUCCAGAGGGAAGCAUUUUCUGUUGUCUGAAGGAAAAGAAAGUGCUUCCCUUUGGACUGUUUCGGUUUGAG
ensembl:miRNA